rnacentral:rRNA from 1 species
GCCAUGCCGCGUGUGUGAUGAAGGUCUUAUGGAUCGUAAAGCACUUUCGYCAKDSAUGAUAAUGACAGUACCUGKUAAAGAAACMCCGGCUAACUACCGUGCCAGCAGCCGCUGGUAAUACGGAGGGRGUUAGCGUUGUUCGGAAUUACUGRGCGUAAAGCGUACGUAGGCGGAUUGGAAAGUUSAGGAGGUGAAAUCCCAGGGCUCAACCCUGGAACUGCCUCCAAAACUAUCAGUCUAGAGUUCGAGAGAGGUGAGUGGAAUUCCAAGUGUAGAGGUGAAAUUCGUAGAUAUUUGGAGGAACACMAGUGGCGAAGRCGAGCUCACUGGCUCGAUACUGACGCUGAGGUACGAAAGUGUGGGGAGCAAACAGGAUUAGAUACMCUGGUAGUCMACACCGUAAACGAUGAAUGCCAGUCGUCGGGYAGUAUACUGUUCAGGUGACACAACUAACGGAUUAAGUAUUCC